rnacentral:rRNA from 2 species
UGGGGAAUAUUGCACAAUGGGGGAAACCCUGAUGCAGCGACGCCGCGUGAACGAAGAAGGUAUUCUUAUCGUAAAGUUCUGUCCUAUGGGAAGAUAAUGACAGUACCAUAGAAGAAAGCUCCGGCUAAAUACGUGCCAGCAGCCGCGGUAAUACGUAUGGAGCGAGCGUUGUCCGGAAUUAUUGGGCGUAAAGGGUACGCAGGCGGUUUAAUAAGUCGAAUGUUAAAGAUCGGGGCUCAACCCCGUAAAGCAUUGGAAACUGAUAAACUUGAGUAGUGGAGAGGAAAGUGGAAUUCCUAGUGUAGUGGUGAAAUACGUAGAUAUUAGGAGGAAUACCAGUAGCGAAGGCGACUUUCUGGACACAAACUGACGCUGAGGUACGAAAGCGUGGGGAGCAAACAGG